rnacentral:rRNA from 1 species
AGAAUGAACGCUGGCGGCGUGCUUAACACAUGCAAGUCGCACGAGAACUCUUCUGCUUGCAGAAGAUAGUAAAGUGGCGCACGGGUGAGUAACGCGUGGGUAAUCUACCUCUGAAUUGGGGAUAACAUUGUGAAAGCGAUGCUAAUACCGAAUAAUAUCCCGAGAACCUAGGUUUUUGGGAUCAAAGGUGGCCUCUACAUGUAAGCUACUGUUUAGAGAUGAGCCCGCGUACCAUUAGCUUGUUGGUAGGGUAAUGGCCUACCAAGGCAACGAUGGUUAGCUGGUCUGAGAGGAUGAUCAGCCACACUGGAACUGACACACGGUCCAGACUCCUACGGGAGGCAGCAGUGAGGAAUUUUGCGCAAUGGGGGAAACCCUGACGCAGCAACGCCGCGUGAGUGAUGAAGGCUUUCGAGUCGUAAAGCUCUGUCAAGUGAGAAGAACCUGUCCCGCGAUAAUACCGCGGGAUACUGACGGUAUCACUGAAGGAAGCACCGGCUAACUCCGUGCCAGCAGCCGCGGUAAUACGGGGGGUGCAAGCGUUAUUCGGAAUUAUUGGGCGUAAAGGGCGCGUAGGCGGUCUUUUAAGUCAGAUGUGAAAGCCCGGGGCUCAACCCCGGAAGAGUAUUUGAAACUAAUGGACUUGAGUAUGGGAGAGGGAAGUGGAAUUCCUGGUGUAGAGGUGAAAUUCGUAGAUAUCAGGAGGAACACCGGUGGCGAAGGCGACUUCCUGGACCAAUACUGACGCUGAGGCGCGAAGGCGUGGGGAGCAAACAGGAUUAGAUACCCUGGUAGUCCACGCAGUAAACGGUGAACACUAGGUGUAGCGGGUAUUGACCCCUGCUGUGCCGCAGUUAACGCAUUAAGUGUUCCGCCUGGGGAGUACGACCGCAAGGUUAAAACUCAAAGGAAUUGACGGGGGCCCGCACAAGCGGUGGAGCAUG